rnacentral:rRNA from 1 species
UGCCUCAGACAUGCAAGUCGAACGCGAAAGUCCCCUUCGGGGGAUAAGUAGAGUGGCGCACGGGUGAGUAACACGUAAGUAAUCUACCCUCGAGUGGGGAAUAACGUCCGGAAACGGACGCUAAUACCGCAUAAUGCAGCGGCACCGCAAGGUGACAGUUGUUAAAGGAGAAAUUCGCUUGAGGAGGAGCUUGCGGUAGAUUAGCUUGUUGGUAAGGUAACGGCUUACCAAGGCUACGAUCUGUAACCGGUCUUAGAGGACGGUCGGUCACACUGACACUGAAUAACGGGUCAGACUCCUACGGGAGGCAGCAGUCGGGAAUUUUGGGCAAUGGGCGAAAGCCUGACCCAGCAACGCCGCGUGAAGGAUGAAGUAUUUCGGUAUGUAAACUUC